AGAACGAACGCUGGCGGCAGGCCUAAUACAUGCAAGUCGAACGCACUCUUCGGAGUGAGUGGCAGACGGGUGAGUAACGCGUGGAAACCUUCCCAAUAGUACGGAAUAACUCCGGGAAACCGGUGCUAAUACCGUAUAAGCCCUUCGGGGGAAAGAUUUAUCGCUAUUGGAUGGGUCCGCGUCGGAUUAGCUUGUUGGUAGGGUAAUGGCCUACCAAGGCGACGAUCCGUAGCUGGUCUGAGAGGAUGAUCAGCCACACUGGGACUGAGACACGGCCCAGACUCCUACGGGAGGCAGCAGUAGGGAAUCUUGGACAAUGGGCGAAAGCCUGAUCCAGCCAUGCCGCGUGAGUGAAGAAGGCCUUAGGGUUGUAAAGCUCUUUUGGCGGGGACGAUAAUGACGGUACCCGCAGAAUAAGCCCGGCUAACUUCGUGCCAGCAGCCGC
rnacentral:rRNA from 1 species